rnacentral:rRNA from 1 species
UACGAAGGGUGCAAGCGUUACUCGGAAUUACUGGGCGUAAAGCGUGCGCAGGCGGUUUGCUAAGACCGAUGUGAAAUCCCCGGGCUUAACCUGGGAACUGCAUUGGUGACUGGCAAGCUAGAGUGUGGCAGAGGGGGGUAGAAUUCCACGUGUAGCAGUGAAAUGCGUAGAGAUGUGGAGGAAUACCGAUGGCGAAGGCAGCCCCCUGGGCCAACACUGACGCUCAUGCACGAAAGCGUGGGGAGCAAACAGG